CGUAGGUACAAGCGUUGUCCGGAAUUAUUGGGCGUAAAAGAGCUCGUAGGUGGUUGGUCACGUCUGCUGUGGAAACGCAACGCUUAACGUUGCGCGUGCAGUGGGUACGGCUGACUAGAGUGCAGUAGGGGAGUCUGGAAUUCCUGGUGUAGCGGUGAAAUGCGCAGAUAUCAGGAGGAACACCGGUGGCGAAGGCGGACUCUGGGCUGUAACUGACGCUGAGGAGCGAAAGCAUGGGAGCGGAACAGGAUU
rnacentral:rRNA from 1 species